CUCAGAUCACGCGCAUGCACUCCGACUCAGCUAAAUGGUCCAGUCAAAAGCUUCUCUAUGACAUUAGGAGAGGCGUGGAAAGCAGGUUUUUCAGGUAAGUAAAACUUAUUUUAUAACUGUUUUUAAAGCAUUUGGAAUGGGGGACCUGAAGAAUAAUGCCCAAUAUAGUAUUAUUCUUUUAAAUAUUUUUUUUAAUUUGCAGGUGUUGGAGUAAACCUAUAACAAACAAUUGACAAAGAUCUGGUAAUUCUGGAUCCUACUUAUGGAUGAUGGUUCCACAGUUGGAGCGGAGCAAUCACCGCGACAAUAAGUGCAAUCAACAGAAACAUUCCAUUGGUUUUCAUGGUAUUUUUCCUCCACUUUUAGACCUUUGCAUUACCUUUCACAACACUUUAUAAAUCACCCUCAAAGUUGCAAUCACUUAUACAACAUGUAAAAAAAAUUAUUUGUGUAUGGUGGCUAAUUAAAAACGAGAGAGCAC